rnacentral:rRNA from 1 species
GAUGAACGCUGGCAGUGUGCCUAAUACAUGCAUGUCGAACGAAGUAAUGAUUCGUCAUUACUUAGUGGCAAAUGGGUGAGUAACACGUACUUAAUCUACCUAUAAGACUGGGAUAGCUAUGAGAAAUCGUAGAUAAUACCGGAUAACAUUUAAAAUCGCAUGAUUUUAUUUUAAAAGGAGCGUUCGCUCUACUUUUAGAUGAGAGUGCGGGGUAUUAGUUAGUUGGUAGGGUAAAGGCCUACCAAGACUAUGAUAUCUAGCCGACCUGAGAGGGUGACCGGCCACAUUGGGACUGAGAUACGGCCCAAACUCCUACGGGGGGCAGCAGUAGGGAAUUUUUCACAAUGAGCGAAAGCUUGAUGGAGCGACACAGCGUGCAGGAUGAAGGUAUUCGGAUUGUAAACUGCUGUUAUAAGGGAAGAAAAACCGGUGUAGGAAAUGACAUCGGCUUGACGGUACCUUAUCAGAAAGCACCGGCAAACUAUGUGCCAGCAGCCGCCGUAAC